rnacentral:rRNA from 1 species
AUCAUCGAAUCUUUGAACGCACCUUGCGCUCCUUGGUAUUCCGAGGAGCAUACCUGUUUGAGUGUCAUUA